rnacentral:tRNA from 1 species
GAUGAAAUGGCCGAGUUUAGGUAGUAAAUUGUAAAUUUACCUACGGGUGUAUUCCCUUUUAUCA